rnacentral:misc_RNA from 1 species
GAUGAAGAACGUAGCGAAAUGCGAUACGUAAUGUGAAUUGCAGAAUUCAGUGAAUCAUCGAAUCUUUGAACGCAUAUUGCGCUCUCUGGUAUUCCGGAGAGCAUGCUUGUUUGAGUAUCAGUAAACACCUCAACUCCCUUUUCUUUUUUGAAAUUGGAGCUGGACUUGAGUGAUCCCAACGCUUUCUUCCAAGAAAGUGGCGGGUUGCUUGAAAUGCAGGUGCAGCUGAACUUUUCUCUGAGCUAUAAGCAUAUCUAUUUAGUCUGCCUAAAAAACAGAUUAUUACCUUUGCUGCAGCUAACAUAAAGGAGACUAGUUCUUGUGCUGACUGAUGCAGGAUUCACAGAGACAGCUUCGGCUGACUUUGUAAACUCGAUCUCAAAUCAAGUAAGACUGCCCGCUGAACAUAAGCAUAUCAAUAAGCGGAGGA